rnacentral:rRNA from 1 species
UACAGAGGGGGCUAGCGUUGUUCGGAAUUACUGGGCGUAAAGGGCGCGUAGGUGGCCUGUUAAGUCGAACGUGAAAUCCCCGGGCUCAACCCGGGAACUGCGUCCGAGACUGGCAGGCUCGAAUCCGGGAGAGGGAUGUGGAAUUCCAGGUGUAGCGGUGAAAUGCGUAGAUAUCUGGAGGAACACCGGUGGCGAAAGCGACUUCCUGGACCAGUACCGACGUUCAGGCACGAAAGCGUGGGGAGCAAACAGG